rnacentral:rRNA from 1 species
GGGUGCAGCAGGCGCGCAAACUUUACAAUGCGAGCAAUCGUGAUAAGGAAACCCUGAGUGCCUGUCGAUGCAGGCUGUUCAUAUAUCUAAAUCAUAUGUGAAGAAAGGGCAGGGCAAGACCGGUGCCAGCCGCCGCGGUAAUACCGGCUGCUCGAGUGAUGGCCACUAUUACUGGGUUUAAAGCGUCCGUAGCUUGACUGUUAGGUCUCUUGGGAAAUCUUCACGCUCAACGUGAAGGCGUCUAAGAGAUACCGGCAGUCUUGGAACUGGGAGAGGUAAACCGUACUUCGGGGGUAGGAGUGAAAUCUUGUAAUCCUCGAGGGACGACCUAUGGCGAAGGCAGUUUACCAGAACAGCUUCGACAGUGAGGGACGAAAGCUGGGGGAGCAAACGGGAUUAGAUACCCCGGUAGUCCCAGCCGUAAACAAUGUGCGUUAGGUGUGUCGGUAACCACGUGUUACUGAUGCGCCGAAGAGAAAUCGUGAAACGCACCACCUGGGAAGUACGGUCGCAAGGCUGAAACUUAAAGGAAUUGGCGGGGGAGCACCACAACAGGUGGAGCCUGCGGUUUAAUUGGAUUCAACGCCGGACAUCUCACCGGAUAAGACAGCUGAAUGAUUGUCAAUCUGAAGGUUUUACAUGACUAGCUGAGAGGAGGUGCAUGGCCAA